GCAGGGAGUGGUGGUGCGUGCCUGUAGUUCCGGCUACUCGGGAAGCUGAGGCAGGAGGAUCGUUCAAGCCCAGGAGUUCUGGGUUGUAGUGUGCUAUGCCCAUCAGGUGUCCGCACUAAGUUUGGCAUCAAUAUGGUGACUUCCUGGGAGCAGGGAACCACCAGGUUGCCUAAGGAGGGGUGAACCGGCCCAGGACAGAAACGGAGCAGGUCAAAAAAUACAAGGAAGAGCAAGUAAAGAGAGGGCUUAGGACUCAGGAGUCCAGGGUCCAAGGUAUGCCCUGUCA
rnacentral:SRP_RNA from 10 species